UGUCCCUGUAGCUCAGUAGGUAGAGCACGUGACUGUUAAUCAUGGGGUCCGAGGUUCGAGUCCUCGCGGGGACGU
rnacentral:tRNA from 1 species